AGCACGGGUCAGUCGGUCCUAAGAAACGGGCGAAAGCUUCCACGAAAGGCACCGGAUCCGUCGUUGUUAAUGCACGCAAGCGGCCGGCCUCGUAUCUAAAGGGAGCUCGCAGAGUUGCCGGGAGUCCCGGGAAGAGUUCUCUCUUCUUCGUAAAGGACCGCAUCCGUGGAAUCGGCUCGUCGGGAGAUACGGUUAUGGUACCUGUAGAGCACCGCCUCUCAGGCGGCGUCCGGUGCCCCUAGAAAAUCCAGGUCCGUAAUGAUUCAAGAGUGAAUUGCAGGUCGU
rnacentral:ncRNA from 1 species